CUGAAACGGCUACCCAUCCAAGGAAGGCAGCAGGCACGCAAAUUACCCACUCCCGGCACGGGGAGGUAGUGACAAAAAAUAACGAUACGGGACUCUUAUGAGGCCCCGUAAUCGGAAUGAGUACACUUUAAAUCCUUUAACAAGGAUCCAUUGAAGGGCAAGUCUGGUGCCAGCAGCCGCGGUAAUUCCAGCUUNANUAGCGUAUAUUAAAGUUGUUGCGGGUAAAAAGCUCGGAAUUGGUUCUGCGUGCCACGCUGUCNGCNNGCCGCCUGCCGGUGUAACUGGCAUGCCNCGGCAUGUCCUGUCCGUGGNGUNNGGGAGCCUCGUCUAGGCGUCGGCCCUUGCCCCAAAGCUUGGUGCUCGGAGGCCGGGGGUAUACCCGUUCGCCUACUCUAUCCUACCUAGGUGCUCUUUACCGAGUGUCGAGGUAGGCCGACACGUUUACUUUGAACAAAUUAGAGUGCUCAAAGCAGGCUGAAAUCUCUGCCUGAAUAGUGGUGCAUGGAAUAAUAAAACAGGACCUUGGUUCUAUUUUGUUGGUUCUUAGGAACACAAGGUAAUGAUCAAUACGGACAGGCGGGGGCAUUCGUAUUGCGACGUUAGACUUGGCAAAUGCUUUCGCGGUGAAAUUCUUGGAUCGUCGCAAGACGCACAAGAGCGAAAGCAUUUGCCAAGUAUGUCUUGAUUGAUCAAGAACGAAAGUUAGAGGUUCGAAGGCGAUCAGAUACCGCCCUAGUUCUAACCAUAAACGAUGCCAGCCAGCGAUCCGCCGAUGUUCCUCCGAUGACUCGGCGGGGAGCUUCUUCCCGGGAAACCAAAGCUUUUGGGUUCCGGGGGAAGUAUGGUUGCAAAGCUGAAACUUAAAGGAAUUGACGGAAGGGCACCACCAGGAGUGGAGCCUGCGGCUUAAUUUGACUCAACACGGGAAACCUCACCAGGCCAGGACAUUGGAAGGAUUGACAGAUUGAUAGCUCUUUCUUGAUUCAGUGGGUAGUGGUGCAUGGCCGUUCUUAGUUGGUGGAUCGAUUUGUCUGGUUAAUUCCGAUAACGAACGAGACUCUAGCCUAUUAACUAGGCGUUUUCCGGUGUCCCCGCCACCGGCGACAAUCAUUCUUCUUAAGGGGACAGGCGGCUUUUAGCCGCACGAGAUUGAGCAAUAACAGGUCUGUGAUGCCCUUAGAUGUCCUGGGCCGCACGCGCGCUACACUGAAGGAAUCAGCGUGUGCCUCCCUGGCCGAAAGGCCCGGGUAAUCCGCUGAACCUCCUGCGUGCUAGGAAUUGGGGCUUGCAAUUGUUCCCCAUGAACGAGGAAUUCCCAGUAAGCGCGAGUCAUAAGCUCGCGUUGAUUACGUCCCUGCCCUUUGUACACACCGCCCGUCGCUACUACCGAUUGAAUGAUUUAGUGAGGUCUUCGGACUGGCGGUAAUCCCUACCGACUCGUCGGUAUCGAUGAACGCUGGGAAGAUGACCAAACUUGAUCAUUUAGAGGAAGUAAAAGUCGUAACAAGGUUUCC
rnacentral:rRNA from 1 species